rfam:Crassostrea gigas strain 05x7-T-G4-1.051#20 contig3242, whole genome shotgun sequence.
GAUCACGUAGCUUAACUGGAUAGAGCACCCGACUUCUAAUCGGGGUGAUGCGAGUUCGAGUCUCGUCGUGAUCC